rnacentral:rRNA from 1 species
CAGCAGCCGCGGGAAAACAGAGGGUGCAAGCGUUAAUCGGAUUUACUGGGCGUAAAGGGCGCGUAGGUGGUUAUGUAAGUGAGAUGUGAAAUCCCCGGGCUCAACCUGGGAACUGCAUCUUAUACUGCGUAGCUGGAGUGCAGUAGAGGGUAGUGGAAUUUCCGGUGUAGCGGUGAAAUGCGUAGAUAUCGGAAGAAACACCAGUGGCGAAGGCGGCUACCUGGACUGACACUGACACUGAGGCGCGUAAGCGUGGGGAGCAAACAGGAUUAGAUACCCCCGUAGUCCCUGUCUCUUAUAC